AUUGAACGCUGGCGGCAUGCCUUACACAUGCAAGUCGAACGGCAGCACGGGAGCAAUCCUGGUGGCGAGUGGCGAACGGGUGAGUAAUAUAUCGGAACGUGCCCAGUCGUGGGGGAUGACGCAGCGAAAGCUGUGCUAAUACCGCAUACGAUCUAAGGAUGAAAGCGGGGGAUCGCAAGACCUCGCGCGAUUGGAGCGGCCGAUAUCAGAUUAGCUAGUUGGUGGGGUAAGGGCCCACCAAGGCGACGAUCUGUAGCUGGUCUGAGAGGACGACCAGCCACACUGGAACUGAGACACAGUCCAGACUCCUACGGGAGGCAGCAGUGGGGAAUUUUGGACAAUGGGCGCAAGCCUGAUCCAGCAAUGCCGCGUGCAGGAUGAAGGCCUUCGGGUUGUAAACUGCUUUUGUACGGAACGAAACGGCCCUUUCUAAUACAGGGGGCUAAUGACGGUACCGUAAGAAUAAGCCCCGGCUAACUUCGUGCCAGCCGCCGCAGUAA
rnacentral:rRNA from 1 species